rnacentral:rRNA from 1 species
AUGUUUGAACAAUUUGGUGAGAACCUGUUCGAGGGUGGAUCGUACCAAGUCGAGGAAGUUGUAAAGAGAAAGAAAUACAUCGCAAGGCACAACAAUGCUGAGAAACGGGAGAAGUGGAUCAAGGUCGAAUACAAGGUCAACAUAUCUGAUGACGGCGAUUGGUUCGAUUGUGAAUGUGGGCAAUUUGCCCAUAUGGGCAUGCUGUGCUGCCAUGCUCUGAAGGUUAUUUUCUGA